GGAGCUUAUGUAGCCCAGGCUGGCUUCAAACUCAAGCUCCUCCUCCUCAACUUCCCAGGUGCUUCUGGGUUACAAGCCUGUGCCAACACACCUGCCAGACUUUCACUUCUCUACUUUGGGGCUUGAAGGCUGUAGCAGAACCACCUGAAGCCUGCCAGGAACAAGGAACUCCCCCGUCCUCCUUCAUCAUCAGGACUUGUCACCCCCCCACCCCAAGAGAACCAGUGUCUUAGCGGUCUCCAAUACUGCUAUAGGUGUCCCACGGCACCCUCAGCCUGACAAGUGCCAUAGGAAGCUUACAGAAAGCCCAAAGCAAGACUUGGAUUCUGCAGCUUGGCAAGCUGAGCCUGCAGAUUGAGGGAGGCAACGGAAGACUGAGGACUCGAAGGCUGGAGAGGCAGAGCCAAGACUAGAGUAUGGUCAAUUCCUCUGACCCCAGAGUCCAGCCCUUUCCUUUGCUCCUGGUGGCCCUUUUCUUGGUGGGUCUGGGGAUAACUGUUGCAACUGAGAGGCAGACUGAU